rnacentral:lncRNA from 1 species
GACCUGCCCACUCUGGCCCUGGGAGUUUGGGGGCCAGAGGGCAGCCAGGUGAACAGGCCCCGGGGCCGGGAUGAAAGUCGUGGCAGUGGAUGUCCUCCUCCUUUGAACUCGGAGGAGUCGGGGCAAGAGGAGAGCGGCAGAUUUGGGGGUGCGACAAGCCCGGGUGAGUGAAGGUGGGAGCUCAGGUUGGCUGCAGAGUCCAAGGAGCCCCUUGAGACCCCAGUGGCGGGCACUCACUUUGCCGUCCCCCAGUUCCCACUGGGUGCCUGAAGUCACAGGGCCACCACCUGGCCGCCCAGACCCCUCCAGACCCGCAGCAGCACUCACCUUAGGGGCAGCGCUCCUCCCGGGGCCCCAUGCCCCCUCCGCCCCGUCCUGUCCUGCAGCAGCCUCCUGUCUCCCUUCCUGCCCCCUGACCGGAGCCCCCAGCCCCGGUGUGUGUGUGUGGGGGUUGUUCUCCUGGUCCUCUGGAAACUUCCACUGAACUGUUGAUACUGUUCACAUAAGAGAGAAGAAAACUGGACCACCUACGGGGCUUUGCUGACACUCCCCCAUAACCAGGGACCCUGAGGCUGCCGCUCCGACCUUCUUUGCCUGUAAAAAGGGGCUGAUCCGAAGGGGCUCCCAAAUGAUUUUCUCUCAGCUCCCGCACAGAUAGUUUCUUGGCCCGUGUGGUUUCUUGGGUUGACCAUCUCCAGGGGGUGUGACCAUCCAGCCACCCGGACCCUGAUGGCUGCGGCCCCCUAUGCCUCAGCCGCCCCCGGCUCCAGAGCGGGUGCAUGGGAAGGGGCCGUGGGUCUCCUGGGCAUGGGGAGGGGGAGGCUUUGAACAAAGCAGUGUUGCAGGCCCCCAGGGAAGGCCGACCUCCCCCCUCACUGCCCGGUCCUCUGUCUUUUACCCAGCACCCUCCCGCUCCCCAUCCUCAGCUGGAGCGGCCCCUCCCGACCCAUCCCAGGCGGAAAGCACCAGCCGCUGGGAGUUCCUUAGAUCAUUGGCGGUGGACUGUGGACAGAAGGCCCUGGGAGCAUGGCAGGACCUGGGCUACCUCCAGAAGACAGAAAGAUCCCGGGAACUAGAAUGAAAGCCCCACUAGGACCAGGGUUUUGCCUUUUAUCCUUCACUGCUGGAUGCCCAUCCUUGCCUCCAGAAUGAGUGUCGCGUUGUGCCAUUUGCUAAGGACGUGCCGCAUUUGUCUUUAAUUAAGAUCAGAAAUAAGGCUGCCCUCUCCCUUUGUGGUUGAUUUUGGUAUGCUACCCUUAACUGCUGUCUUAUGGCCAAGGAAAUCAUUCACUCGGCGCAGAUUUGAGAAAAAUGAGAAUGGUUGGAGAAACGCAUCCAUUCUCCACAUCUCUAGCCACAACACCCUCAAGCCCAGGCACUGUAUAAAAAUUCACAUGCAAUGUUCUGUUAGUUGGUAAGUUCUUCAGAAAUGGUUGGAGAUUUCUGCUCCCUAAUUUUCAAUCCGUUGGGGGGUCUGCUAUUAAUGGGUUAAUAAUAAAUGCUGUGGGUGGGGCCUGACCA